GACGAACGCUGGCGGCGUGCUUAACACAUGCAAGUCGAGCGGUAAGGCCCUUUCGGGGGUACGACGAGCGGCGAACGGGUGAGUAACACGUGGGUGACCUGCCCUUAGCUCUGGGAUAAGCCUGGGAAACUGGGUCUAAUACCGGAUAUGACUCCAUGACGCAUGUUGUGGGGUGGAAANCCUUGUGCGGCUAGGGAUGGGCCCCGCGGCCUAUCAGCUUGUUGGUGGGGUGAUGGCCCUACCAAGGCGACGACGGGUAGCCGGCCUGAGAGGGCGACCGGCCACACUGGGACUGAGACACGGCCCAGACUCCUACGGGAGGCAGCAGUGGGGAAUCUUGCGCAAUGGGCGAAAGCCUGACGCAGCGACGCCGCGUGGGGGAUGACGGCC
rnacentral:rRNA from 1 species